rnacentral:rRNA from 1 species
GAUGAACGCUGGCGGCGUGCCUAAUACAUGCAAGUCGAGCGAACGGACGAGAAGCUUGCUUCUCUGAUGUUAGCGGCGGACGGGUGAGUAACACGUGGAUAACCUACCUAUAAGACUGGGAUAACUUCGGGAAACCGGAGCUAAUACCGGAUAAUAUUUUGAACCGCAUGGUUCAAAAGUGAAAGACGGUCUUGCUGUCACUUAUAGAUGGAUCCGCGCUGCAUUAGCUAGUUGGUAAGGUAACGGCUUACCAAGGCAACGAUUCAUAGCCGACCUGAGAGGGGGGACCGGCCCACUGGAAAGUGAGACCGGGCCAGAAUCCUAAGGGGGGGGCGAGGGGGGGAAUUUUCCGAAAGGGGGGAAAGCCUACCGGGGAAACGCCCGGGGAGGAAUGAAGGUUUUGGGUUUGUAAACCUUUUUUAUUAGGGAAAAAAAUAUGUGUAAGUAACUGUGCCCCUCUUGGCGGUACCUAACAAAAAAGCCCCGGCUAACUCCGG